GCCUCACAAAACAGGAUCCCUCUGUUCCUCUGCAACUAUUGCAUAGAGUAACCAUCAAAUGGUUAUACAGCAUAAGUAAAGAUUCAGAAUUUGUUGGAGAGGGAAUAUUGUACUGAAGGAAGAAUACCUCAUCACAGGCCCCCAACAUGAUUCAUCCACCAGUCUCUUAAAAUUAAAUUGACUGGUCAACUUUGAUAGAGGCUUUUUCCCAGGGCUGAAAUGGCUAGCACAAGAGGGCAUAGUUUUAAGGUGCUUGGAAGCAGGAACAGAGGAGAUGUCAGGGGUUCUCUUUUCAUGAGUUUUACCAGAUCCUGAUGUUUCAAAGCUAUCAGUCCACAAGAACUUCCCAACUCCGCUGCUUUAUCCAAGAGGUCAACUCUUGGACAAAGAGCGGGAAUAGGAAAUUUCACUAUGGGGGUCAUCAGCCAAAUGAACCCAAUCCUGAGGCAAGGAUAUUCACACCUCCAGUGGGAAAGUGGCAUUUCGAAUAUCAAAUGUGUCAAGAUUUAUGGCCAAUCUUCCCUCCUUUGUCUUUUUGAAUAUAUUCUUUGUUUGGUAUCUGGAUCCCCUUCUCUAUACACUCCCACCACCCACCUACUCGCACCCCUCUCUUCCUCCCAGAUCGUUUUUUUUCGAGAAAGCUUAUAAAAUGCAUGGUUCGAACUUACCCAAGCCGUUGGACAGCAG